UAGAGCACUGUUUGGGUGAGGGGUCCAUCCCGGAUUACCAAUCUCAGAUAAACUCCGAAUGCCAAUGAAUUAUGGUCGGCAGUCAGACUGCGAGUGCUAAGAUCCGUAGUCGAAAGGGAAACAGCCCAGACCACCAGCUAAGGUCCCAAAAUAAUUGUUAAGUGGAAAAGGAUGUGGGGUUGCACAGACAACUAGGAUGUUAGCUUAGAAGCAGCUAUUCAUUCAAAGAGUGCGUAAUAGCUCACUAGUCGAGUGACCCUGCGCCGAAAAUGUACCGGGGCUAAAACAAUUUACCGAAGCUGUGGAUACCUUUUAUAGGUAUGGUAGGAGAGCGUUCUAUGUGUGGAGAAGGUGUACCGUGAGGAGCGCUGGAACGCAUAGAAGUGAGAAUGCCGGUAUGAGUAGCGCAAGACAGGUGAGAAUCCUGUCCACCGUAAGACUAAGGUUUCCAGGGGAAGGCUCGUCCGCCCUGGGUUAGUCGGGACCUAAGGAGAGACCGAAAGGUGUAUCCGAUGGCCAACAGGUUGAGAUUCCUGUACUAGAGUAUGAAGUGAUGGAGGGACGCAGUAGGCUAACUCGUGCGUACGAAUGGAUGUACGUCUAAGCAGUGAGGCGUGGUAUGAGUCAAAUGCUUAUACCUGUAACGUUGAGCUGUGAUGGGGAGCGAAGUUUAGUAGCGAGUGAGUGAUGUCACACUGCCAAGAAAAGCUUCUAGCGUUGUAUCAUACUCUACCCGUACCGCAAACCGACACAGGUAGUCGAGGCGAGUAGCCUCAGGUGAGCGAGAGAACUCUCGUUAAGGAACUCGGCAAAAUGACCCCGUAACUUCGGGAGAAGGGGUGCUGACUUUGGUCAGCCGCAGUGAAUAGGCCCAAGCAACUGUUUAUCAAAAACACAGCUCUCUGCUAAAUCGUAAGAUGAUGUAUAGGGGGUGACGCCUGCCCGGUGCUGGAAG
rnacentral:rRNA from 1 species